AACGCUGGCGGCGUGCUUAACACAUGCAAGUCGAACGAGGAACGGGUUAUAGCUUGCUAUAACUGUCAGACUAAGUGGCGCGACGGGUGAGUAAUAUAUAGGUAACGUCGCCCUAGAGAGGGGGGAUAACAGUUGGAAACGAUUGCUAACACCCCAUAUGCCUUUAAGACUUAAGUCUGCAAGGGAAAUAUUUAUAGCUCUAGGAUCGGCCUGUACAGUAUCAGUUAGUUGGUGAGGUAAUGGCUCACCAAGACAAUGACGCUUAACUAGUUUGAGAGGAUGAUCAGUCACACUGGAACUGAGACACGGUCCAGACUCCUACGGGAGGCAGCAGGUGGGGAAUAUUGCACAAUGGACGAAAGUCUGAUGCAGCAACGCCGCGUGGAGGAUGACACAUUUCGGUGCGUAAACUCCUUUUAUAUAGGAAGAUAAUGACGGUACUAUAUGAAUAAGCACCGGCUAACUCCGUG
rnacentral:rRNA from 1 species